GUAAAUAUUGGUAUUUUUGAGAAAAUAAAAGUUUUUUUUGAGUUCCCCACACCCUGCAAAGCCUGUGGCUCUCUCUUAAAAAAAAACAUCUGUGAGUUCUUGUAAGGUCCCUUCCAACUCUAAUGAUUUUAAGAUUCUAUGAUUCUUUGGGUCAGGUCUGGCAGUGGAAGAAUGCUGGGGUCUGGCUCUCGGCUGCUGUUCACUGAUCCCUGGGUCCCCAAGAAAUCAUUCACUUCCUAAUUAGGAACAAGCUGGAAUAUGUUUGGGGCUAAAGGAACAAAAGUGGAAUGUGCCAAUUACACCAACCCUUCUAGAUGAGCUGGCAUUGCUUCUGGCUUAUCAAAAGAGCACAGACUCUGUGUGAUGGUAUUUCCAAUGCUGUCUUAUUUUUAAACAGCAGAUGGUGUUAGAAACCUGUAACAGGUGGAAUGUCUUUGGCACGAUGGGAGAGAUCAGAAGUGGCAGCGCUUCCUCAUUUCCCAAGAUGAUAACAGCAUGCUGCCCAUCGGCAGGAAUAUUUAUUGCAGAGGGAAAAACUUUGGAAUCACACAUGUUUGUAUGGAAGAAAGCAAUUCUAGUUGACGUUCUGGUUAUAAAAAAAGGAGCAUGGUAACGUUCUUCACAAUGCUCUGUUAGCACCUGUAGAAGAAAGCUGCAGGAGUGUGCUCUGCUCACUGUGUGCUUCAAACUCUGCUCCAGUCUUCUAUUGCCUAUUGCUUUCCUGUAUAUGAUAAUAGCAUUUCACAAGCUUAAAGUGUUUUAUAAACAUUUAAUUACUGUUGCAUUUGACUCAAAGCCAGGAAUCUCUCAUUCAUCUGCAUCUUGUAAGGUCUGUGAAAAUGAUAUUCAAAUUACAGAAUUACAAGGGCUGAGUUCAGACUUCACUUACAGGAGCCUCCGCCAGCACAGAUUUGUGAGCAUCAUUUCCAGAGCUGCAAGGCAAAUCCCUUCCUCCUCUGCUUGAAGUCAUCAGAAAAUGAUUUUGUUACUGAUUAUUUGCUAAAUUUUGCUCUCUUUCCGUUUGCCACUCCUAGGGCUUCUCCACUCCAAUGUCUACAGGUAGACCCUGAGUGCUCCAUACCAGCAAGUACCCUCUGUUCUCUGCAUGGUACAGGAAGCAGAGCAGCCAGAGUGAAACCCCUUUGCCAUCCUUCCAACCAUGGAAUUACAGGAGAACUGAGCUCCUGCCUCCCUCAGCUCCUUCCUUGUGUUUGCCUGGAAACCAUCUGGGCAGCAAAGCAACAAUUCCUUGGGAGACGAUCUCCGCUUUGGCCUCUUGACUCCCCGCUGAACCCAGCCUGACCCACGCUCCCUCUGCUGAGGCCUAGCAGAAGGCUCAAGAGCUGACGAGCAGAGCUUCCUGCUCAGUGGUUCAGUGACGUCACCCAGUCAUGUUCCACGGGAGCACUGUGCUCACUGGUACCCACAGCUUUCCCUGCCCAAUGCACUCAGCAUGGGAGCAGCAGCCCUCUGCUUUGCUGGAUGCUGCCAGUCCAGGUCCAGAAUGAUCUCUGCUCACCCAUAAAAAUGUGAUUCUGUGAUUCUACCUGGUGCUGAAAGCUGACGUGACAGCAGGAGAAGGAUUCAUAUUGCAUCUAUUAUCUAUUAUCAACAAUGCUGUUACAUCACUUACUUGUAAGCAAAACCUUUACCUCUCAGCUGCAAAACAGUUCCAAGCCCUAAGCUGUCUGCUGGCCAGGCAGUCAGCAUCAUUAACUGAACUAACUUCAGCCAGAGUCAUUGGUUUACACUUAAUGACAGAGCCUGAACCUUUGCCAGCAGCACCUUCCCACCUCAUGGGCAUGCUGAGGGCUGUUCUGUUGGGCUACUGGCACUAGUGGCUUCAUUGAACAGGAGCCACCAGGACCACUCAGGUCCCUAAUACUAGCAUGGUCCAUACUGGUUUCCAUAAAAACAAAAAGACAAGUAGUAACUUACACCAGAGCACAAAAAAGAGGAUGUUUAGAAUAAAGCAUUUUUUCCUUGAUUAAGAGCUCACAAAAUCCAGGAGAUGUGGGUUUUAUUUUUCCCUUUUCCAAUGCUUGUAUUUCUUACAGUUAGACACUACAAAUUUCUGUACUUCACUUUAAUGUGUUUGGGUUUUUUUAGGCUUUUGAUAAUUCUCCCACGAUAAUUUAAACUAUCUACUGAACAAUGCAAAGCUUUUCAGUCCAGACCCCUGAAUCAAUUCUUUGUUAGCAGACACUAUAUCCCCCUGAAGUAUCUAGGAAGAUUUAUUCUAAUGGGACACGUAAACAAAGUGACAUUUUCC
ensembl:lncRNA